rnacentral:rRNA from 1 species
GACGAACGCUGGCGGCGUGCUUAACACAUGCAAGUCGAACGGAAAGGCCCUGCUUUUGUGGGGUGCUCGAGUGGCGAACGGGUGAGUAACACGUGAGUAUCCUGCCCUUGUCAUUGUGAUAACUUCAGGAAACUGCGGCUCAUACCGGAUAGGAGCUCCUGCUGCACGGUGGGGGUUGGAAAGUUUCGGCGGUUGGGGAUGGUCUCGCGGCUUAUCAGCUUGUUGGUGGGGUAGUGGCUUACCAAGGCUUUGACGGGUAGCCGGCCUGAGAGGGUGACCGGCCACAUUGGGACUGAGAUACGGACCAGACUCGUACGGGAGGCAGCAGUGGGGAAUAUGGCACAAUGGGCGGAAGCGUGAUGCAGCAACGCCGCGUGCGGGAUGACGGCCUUCGGGUUGUAAACCGCUUUCGCCUGUGACGAAGCGUGAGUGACGGUAAUGGGUAAAGAAGCACCGGCUAACUACGUG